AUUGAACGCUGGCGGCAGGCCUAAUACAUGCAAGUCGAACGAGUGGCGGACGGGUGAGUAAUGUCUGGGAAAUUGCUUGAUGGAGGGGGUUAACUACUGGAAACGGUAGCUAAUACCGCAUACCAUCAGAUGUGCCCAGUUUGAAUUAGCUUGUUGGUGGGGUAACGGCUGACCAAGGCAACGAUCCAUAGCGGAUCUGAGAGGGUGACCGGCCACACUGGAACUGAGACACGGUCCAGACUCCUACGGGAGGCAGCAGUGGGGAAUCUUGCUCAAUGGGCGCAAGCCUGAUGCAGCCAGGCCGCGUGUGUGAAGAAGGCCUUCGGAUUGUAAAGUACUUUCAGCGGGGAAGCGUUACCCACAGAGAAAGCACCGGCUAACUCCGUGCCAGCAGCCGCGGUAAUAC
rnacentral:rRNA from 1 species